rnacentral:rRNA from 1 species
GAUGAACGCUGGCGGCGUGCUUAACACAUGCAAGUCGAACGAGAAGUGAAGACGGAACCCUUCGGGCGGAAGGCUUUAUUUCGAGUGGCGGACGGGUGAGUAACGCGUGGGUAACCUGCCUCAUACAGGGGGAUAACAGUUGGAAACGACUGUUAAUACCGCAUCAGACCACAGCACCGCAUGGUGCGGGGGUAAAAACUCCGGUGGUAUGAGAUGGAACCGCGUUCGAUUAGCCAGUUGGCGGGGUAACGGCCCACCAAAGCGACGAUCGAUAGCCGAUCUGAGAGGAUGACCGGCCACAUUGGGACUGAGACACGGCCCAAACUCCUACGGGAGGCAGCAGUGGGGAAUAUUGCACAAUGGGGGAAACCCUGAUGCAGCGACGCCGCGUGAGUGAAGAAGUAUUUCGGUAUGUAAAGCUCUAUCAGCAGGGAAGAAAAUGACGGUACCUGAGUAAGAAGCCCCGGCUAACUACGUG